rnacentral:rRNA from 1 species
UAUAAUUGUCAGCUAAGUGGCGCACGGGUGAGUAAUGUAUAGAUAACCUGCCCUUAAGAAAGGAAUAACAGUUGGAAACGACUGCUAAUGCCCUAUAUGCCUUUAAUACAUAAGUAUGCAAGGGAAACGCUUUAGUGCUUAAGGAUGGGUCUGUAUGGUAUCAACUUGUUGGUGAGGUAAUGGCUCACCAAGGCUAUGACGCCUAACUGGUUUGAGAGGAUGAUCAGUCACACUGGAACUGAGACACGGUCCAGACUCCUACGGGAGGCAGCAGUGGGGAAUAUUGCACAAUGGACGAAAGUCUGAUGCAGCAACGCCGCGUGGAGGAUGACACAUUUCGGUGCGUAAACUCCUUUUAUAUAGGAAGAUAAUGACGGUACUAUAUGAAUAAGCACCGGCUAACUCCGUGCCAGCAGCCGCGGUAAUACGGAGGGUGCAAGCGUUACUCGGAAUCACUGGGCGUAAAGAGCGUGUAGGCGGGUAUAUAAGUCAGAAGUGAAAUCCAAUAGCUCAACUAUUGAACUGCUUUUGAAACUGUAUACCUAGAAUGUGGGAGAGGUAGAUGGAAUUUCUGGUGUAGGGGUAAAAUCCGUAGAGAUCAGAAGGAAUACCGAUUGCGAAGGCGAUCUACUGGAACAUUAUUGACGCUGAGACGCGAAAGCGUGGGGAGCAAACAGGAUUAGAUACCCUGGUAGUCCACGCCCUAAACGAUGUACACUAGUUGUUGUGAGGCUCGACCUUGCAGUAAUGCAGUUAACACAUUAAGUGUACCGCCUGGGGAGUACGGUCGCAAGAUUAAA